GCAUGGGUUUGGAUUUGCGGCAGGUCCGAUCCCAUGGGCCUCUCAUAGUGUCCUAUGCUAAAGCAAACUGUCUCCCCGAACCCUUACCUGGCUUUACCUGGUGGGCUUAAGGCACUGAAAUGGGUUGCACAGUG